AAGAAACUCGGUAUGUUUUUGUUUACUAAUUCGGAACAAAACUGUGGAUACUUGCGAUAUGACGGCUGCAGAUCAUCCCAGAUGGAAAUUGUGAGCAUUGAUUGUAAACAUCGGAUGAUUGUUGGCGGCUGAACACCGUAUAGACAUGUUCGGUACGUUCGCUGGAAUAUACAAGAAUAAUAUCAGGGUACAGAAGGUUACAAAAGAUUGUCUGUAUAUAAUAAGUAUUCAGAGCUGAAGCUGGGCCAAGGUGUGACCCUUGCGAAACUCCAGAUACAACGUAUAGAAGAAAAUGCCACCAACGUCAGCAAAAAAAAAUAUUAAAAAUCAACGCGAUUUUU